rnacentral:rRNA from 1 species
UGGGGAAUUUUGGACAAUGGGGGCAACCCUGAUCCAGCCAUGCCGCGUGAGUGAAGAAGGCCUUCGGGUUGUAAAGCUCUUUCGGCGGGGAAGAAAUGGCAACGGCUAAUAUCCGUUGUUGAUGACGGUACCCGCAUAAGAAGCACCGGCUAACUACGUGCCAGCAGCCGCGGUAAUACGUAGGGUGCGAGCGUUAAUCGGAAUUACUGGGCGUAAAGCGUGCGCAGGCGGUUUCGUAAGACAGACGUGAAAUCCCCGGGCUCAACCUGGGAACUUCGUUUGUGACUGCGAGGCUAGAGUACGGCAGAGGGUGGUAGAAUUCCACGUGUAGCAGUGAAAUGCGCAGAGAUGUGGAGGAAUACCGAUGGCGAAGGCAGCCCCCUGAGUUAGUACUGACGCUCAUGCACGAAAGCGUGGG